rnacentral:tRNA from 3 species
AGGGGUGUAGUUCAAUGGUAGAACUACGGUCUUCAAAACCGUCUGUUGUGGGUUCGAGUCCUGCCACCCCUGCCA